AGUCCGAGGAGACUUAAUAAUAGAUUUAAUAAUAUAUUUUAUUUGUAAUACACUUUACUUUUGGAGCAAAUCUCAAAGUGCUACAGUUAAGAUCAUAAAAGCAUGGUAAAAACAUCAAUAUAAAAUACAAAUAGACAGCGCAGCGACUUGCAGGGUUAAUUAAAACUCAGAAGUUCUGCUAAAUAGAAAUGUUUUUAGUCGUUUUUUAAAAGUCUCAAUAGUUUGAGGUGCUCUCAGAUGGUCGGGGAGGGCGCUCCAAAUCCGAGGAGCGGCAGAACAGAAAGCCCGAUCACCCACGGUGCUGAGGAAGUUAACACUUGAGAGAGUCUGGUAGGACCAGGCUAGAUCCUUGCAGCACUACUCUGAACAUAGUGCAGUCUCUGCAGGCUUUUGUUAGGGAUCCCGAUGAGAAGUGCGUUACAGUAAUCCAGUCUGGAGGAGACAAAGGCAUGGACCAGUUUUUCAGCAUCUGCUAAGGUGAGUGCCCUCCAGGAGGCGCUACAGGAGCCUCUGUUCCAGCCCACCUGCUGCUGCUGAAUGUUCCUUUUUUUGGUUCAUGCUUCAUGAUGAUGAUGAUAACAGGUAAACAGCCUAACCCAUUUCAUUGUUUCAUUGCAUUGAUUCAGAUGUAUAUUGUAUCUUUUGUUUAGAAGUUUUUUUUUAUCAUAAGGAGCUUUUUAUACUUAUCUUUUAAGUUAAAGGCAUACUAUGUAACUUUUCCCUCUUCGGUCCUCCUACAGGUUGUCUCAUUAGAACUACAGCCGAGUGAGCUGUAGUUCUAAUGAGACAACCUGUAGGAGGACCAAAGAGGGAAAAGUUACAUAGUAUGCCUUUAAAGUAGCAAUACCACAGUGUAAAAAUACUCCAUUAAAAGUAAAAGUACUCAUAAAAAGUUGACAAUAUAUGAUACAUUAUGAAAGUGAAUUAUUAUUGCAGAUGGUGAGUAAGCAGCAUUGUAUUGUUGUAGCUAGUCGAGAGGCAGCUCAUGUCACGCCCCCGCCUGCCGUGACUUCUGCACGGUGACAGUCUAGUGUGUGUGUGUGAAUGUGUUUUGGUUUAUUUCUUCAUUUUGUUAUGCCUGCCGUGUGUUUGGUGUGUGUGUGUGUGUGUCUGUGUGUUUUUUUUGUCUGUCUGUCUGUGUUUCUGUUCCCGCCAUUUUCCACAGAGUGAGGACACGCCCCCCCUGUUGAUUCUCCCCACACCUGGUACCAACUCCAAUCAGCGCACCUGCUACUCAUCCUGCUCCAUCAUCUGCCUUCAAAUGCCAGUAGGACUUUCCUCUCCCUGCCGGAUUGGUGCUUACCACUGAAAAUAACCCACCUUUGGAAUCCUCUGCUGCCAAUAGCGCACUGGAACAUCAAGUAUGCAGCCCCACUGAGGAACACAGCCCAGCACCCCCUCUGCCAGUCCAGCCAUCUUCAGACCCAGCACCCCCACUGCCAGUCCAGCCAUCUUCAGACCCAGCACCUCCUCUGCCAGCCUAGCCAUCUUCAGACCCAGCACCUCC